GGCUCCCUGUAAGAGAUAAAUAGGGAGUCGGACCUGCCCAGUGAAUAUUUUAACGGCCGCGGUACUCUGACCGUGCAAAGGUAGCAUAAUCAUUUGCCUUAUAAUUGAAGGCUAGUAUGAAUGGUUUGACAAGAAUAUAGCUGUCUCUUUUAGAUUUAAUAGAAUUUUAUUUAAAGGUGAAGAAGCCUUUAUUUAAUUAAAAGACAAGAAGACCCUAUCGAGCUUGAAAAUAGUAAGUAGAUUAAAAUACUUUGAUAAUAUUAAAAAAAUUUCUAUUAAUAAUUUUAGUUGGGGCGACUGAGGAACAUAAAAAGCUUCCUUUAUAACUUAGAUAUUUACAAUUACUUGAUCCAAAAGUUUUUGAUUAAAGAAAUUAGUUACCGUAGGGAUAACAGCAUCAUCCUUUUUAAGAGUUCUUAUCGAAAAGGGGGUUUGUGACCUCGAUGUUGGACCAGAAUAUCCUAAAGAUGCAGCAGUCUUUAAGGGUUGGUCUGUUCGACCAUUAAAAUUCUACG
rnacentral:rRNA from 1 species